AGUGAACGCUGGCGGUAGGCCUAACACAUGCAAGUCGAACGGCAGCACAGUAAGAGCUUGCUCUUACGGGUGGCGAGUGGCGGACGGGUGAGGAAUACAUCGGAAUCUACUUUUUCGUGGGGGAUAACGUAGGGAAACUUACGCUAAUACCGCAUACGACCUACGGGUGAAAGCAGGGGAUCUUCGGACCUUGCGCGAUUGAAUGAGCCGAUGUCGGAUUAGCUAGUUGGGGGGGUAAAGGCCCACCAAGGCGACGAUCCGUAGCUGGUCUGAGAGGAUGAUCAGCCACACUGGAACUGAGACACGGUCCAGACUCCUACGGGAGGCAGCAGUGGGGAAUAUUGGACAAUGGGCGCAAGCCUGAUCCAGCCAUACCGCGUGGGUAAAGAAGGCCUUCGGGUUGUAAAGCCCUUUUGUUGGGAAAGAAAAGCAGCAGGUUAAUACCCCGCUGUUCUGACGGUACCCAAAGAAUAAGCACCGGCUAACUUCGUG
rnacentral:rRNA from 1 species